rnacentral:rRNA from 1 species
CUACGGGAGGCAGCAGUGGGAAUAUUGGACAAUGGGCGAAACCCUGAUCCAGCGACGCCGCGUGUGUGAAGAAGGCCUGCGGGUUGUAAAGCACUUUUAGUGGGGACAAAAAGCCAGGGGCUAAUACCGCCUGGUCUUGAUUUAACUCACAGAAAAAGCACCGGCUAACUCUGUGCCAGCAGCCGCGGUAAUACAGAGGGUGCGAGCGUUAAUCGGAAUUACUGGGCGUAAAGCGCGCGUAGACGGUUUUGUAAGUCAGAUGUGAAAUCCCCGGGCUCAACCUGGGAACUGCAUUUGAUACUGCCUUGCUAGAGUACGGUAGAGGGAAGUGGAAUUUCCGGUGUAGCGGUGAAAUGCGUAGAUAUCGGAAGGAACAUCAGUGGCGAAAGCGACUUCCUGGUCCAGCACUGACGCUCAGGCACGAAAGCGUGGGGAGCAAACAGGAUUAGAAACCCUAGUAGUCC